GACGAACGCUGGCGGCGUGCUUAACACAUGCAAGUCGAACGAAGUGGCGAACGGGUGAGUAACGCGUAAUCAACCUGCCCUUCAGAGGGGUACAACAGGUGGAAACGACUUCUAAUACCGCAUACUGAAGGAGGGGAUUGCGUCUGAUUAGCUAGGUGGGGGGGUAACGGCCCACCAAGGCGAGGAUCAGUAGGCGGGCUGAGAGGAUGAACGGCCACAUUGGGACGGAGACACGGCCCAGACGCCUACGGGAGGCAGCAGUGGGGAAGCUUUCGCAAUGGACGAAAGUCUGACGGAGCAACGCCGCGUGAGUGAUGACGGCCUUCGGGUUGUAAAGAUCUGUUAAUCGGGACGCGGUACCGGAAUAGAAAGCCACGGCUAACUACGUGCCAGCAGCCGCGGUAAUUC
rnacentral:rRNA from 1 species